AACGCACAUUGCGCCUGCUAGUAUUCUGGCAGGCAUGCCUGUCCGAGCGUCAUUUCACCGCUCAGGCGCCCUUCUGGGGCUGCCCGGUGUUGGGGCUUCUGUCGAAUCGACAGGCCCUGAAAAUCAUCGGCGGGGCACGCCGAGCUCCCUAGCGCAGUAGCAAAUCUCGCUAGCGGGGGCCCGGUGGCGCUCUAGGCCUUGACUCUUAUCAAAAAAUUUGACCUCGGAUCAGACAGGACUACCCGCUGAACUUAA
rnacentral:misc_RNA from 1 species